ensembl:lncRNA
AUGACACAUUGCAAAUUAGUUUUAGUAAAACUAGAUUUUACAAGUCUUAGUUGUAAUAUUAUUACCUUGCGUUAUUAAAGCUAUUCCAUUUAGUUAAAGUCAAACCAAGCCCUGUUAUAUCAUUGGAAAAACAGGCUUUAUCAUAACCUAAUAUUCACAUUCAAGGUUUACCCUAGAUUUCACAAAGUACCUAAAAACUGUGAUGUAUUCUGACCCUUGCUCUCACUAUCUAUUCCAUUCCUUCUCAGCCUAAAAUGUGUUGCAUUCAAAAAGUAAAGACAGAGAGACAGCGGAAGAGAGAUGUAUAGAAAGAGUGGAGGCGAUGUGCGUGGUGAGUUGGGCACAGACAGAUCCCAGACAUCCAGCCGCGCAUGCUUAAUCCUGCAGACUUUCCUGCCAUCCACCGUGUCUAAGUACCCCUGGAGUUCCCAGAAGGAAUGUGCCAUCUCCAUCUUCCUGCUACUACACCUGCCAUGAGCGUCUGAGAAUAGCAAACAGCCUUAAACCAAACAACCUUGAAACAACAAACACGAAAGCUUGUCAUAUGCUCACCCAAUGAAGCUUCUAUUGUAGACCAGAAAGCUCUUCUGGUCAAGUCCUUCCAUUUUUUUUAAUAUAUUUCUUUUGCUAUGCAAGUUUGCUUGUUAAUGACAGGUCUGUUGUCAAGGUGACUGAAUGAGGGAUGAGAAGCUGAUUAAGCGCACCAAGGGGUCCUGUGCACAUUUGUAACCACUGACUUUUUAUGUAUUUAUAUACUGUGUGUGUGUCAUUGAAAGCAGUUAACCAAGGCGCAUGGAUAACCGAACAGAAUAAACAACAGUGGAUGUGUAAUGUACAAUCAAAGGCCCAAUCCCAUUUCUACCCCUUAUCCCUUCCCCUGCCCCCUUCCCUUUACCCCUUCAAAACAAGGGGGAGGGGUAAGGGGAAGGGGUAAGGGGUAGAAAUGGGAUUGGGCCAAUGUCUGUGUUGAAGCAUUUCAUGUUCAUGGGACAUAAGGUUGUCUCUGAGGGCUAGCAUGAGUCAAUGAUAUCAACCACACGCCCAAGGUAUAUACUGUUUCUAAAUGUGUCUAUGUAUCAGAAAAACAAUAAAAUAUACAAUAUUUUCAAUGCAAUGCCCCUGACAGACUGGCUGUGUGAUAAGAAGCAGGAUUUGUGGCAGAGAGGGGGUGGAAGAGAGUGAUCUAUUUUUACCUGAUGUAAAAUACCUCCUCAUAUCUCAGCCUCUCCUUUGAUAGUAGCAUCUGAGCGGCUUCACACACUAACAGCAAUUAGGAUGACAUGACGCUAACGACAGAAGUAACCAUUCAAGACUGAGAACAUAUUCACGGCUCCAGGGAAAAACAACAACGUGAGUCAUUGUGAAACGCGGUGUGUAUUUGCGUGUGUGUCAUUUUCUGAUUUGCAUAAAGGCAAAGAAUAGGAUUAAUGCAUUCAUCCAUCCAUCCAUCUGGAACACCUUUUCCAGGCAGGGCAGACUGAAAAACCGGAGACCCUUUCUCCUGGGCAUUGAGAAACUAUGAGCAGA